AUCGCUAUGGCUUAGUGGGAAAGCGCCAGGCUCAUACUACUGUUGUGAUAACCUGGAGAUCCCUCGAUCGAAACGAGGUGGCGAUA
rnacentral:tRNA from 1 species